UGGGGAAUAUUGCACAAUGGGGGGAACCCUGAUGCAGCAACGCCGCGUGGAGGAUGACACAUUUCGGUGCGUAAACUCCUUUUAUAUAGGAAGAUAAUGACGGUACUAUAUGAAUAAGCACCGGCUAACUCCGUGCCAGCAGCCGCGGUAAUACGGAGGGUGCAAGCGUUACUCGGAAUCACUGGGCGUAAAGCGCGCGCAGGCGGCCUUUUAAGUUGGAUGUGAAAGCCUACGGCUUAACCGUAGAACUGCAUCCAAAACUACUAGGCUAGAGUGUGGGAGAGGAAGAUGGAAUUAGUUGUGUAGGGGUAAAAUCCGUAGAGAUAACUAGGAAUACCAAAAGCGAAGGCAAUCUUCUGGAACACUACUGACGCUGAGGCGCGAAAGCGUGGGGAGCAAACAG
rnacentral:rRNA from 1 species